rnacentral:rRNA from 2 species
CGUCAGACGAACGCUGGCGGCGUGCCUAAUACAUGCAAGUCGAACGAACUCUGGUAUUGAUUGGUGCUUGCAUCAUGAUUUACAUUUGAGUGAGUGGCGAACUGGUGAGUAACACGUGGGAAACCUGCCCAGAAGCGGGGGAUAACACCUGGAAACAGAUGCUAAUACCGCAUAACAACUUGGACCGCAUGGUCCGAGUUUGAAAGAUGGCUUCGGCUAUCACUUUUGGAUGGUCCCGCGGCGUAUUAGCUAGAUGGUGGGGUAACGGCUCACCAUGGCAAUGAUACGUAGCCGACCUGAGAGGGUAAUCGGCCACAUUGGGACUGAGACACGGCCCAAACUCCUACGGGAGGCAGCAGUAGGGAAUCUUCCACAAUGGACGAAAGUCUGAUGGAGCAACGCCGCGUGAGUGAAGAAGGGUUUCGGCUCGUAAAACUCUGUUGUUAAAGAAGAACAUAUCUGAGAGUAACUGUUCAGGUAUUGACGGUAUUUAACCAGAAAGCCACGGCUAACUACGUGCCAGCAGCCGCGGUAAUACGUAGGUGGCAAGCGUUGUCCGGAUUUAUUGGGCGUAAAGCGAGCGCAGGCGGUUUUUUAAGUCUGAUGUGAAAGCCUUCGGCUCAACCGAAGAAGUGCAUCGGAAACUGGGAAACUUGAGUGCAGAAGAGGACAGUGGAACUCCAUGUGUAGCGGUGAAAUGCGUAGAUAUAUGGAAGAACACCAGUGGCGAAGGGCGGCUGUCUGGUCUGUAACUGACGCUGAGGCUCGAAAGUAUGGGUAGCAAACAGGAUUAGAUACCCUGGUAGUCCAUACCGUAAACGAUGAAUGCUAAGUGUUGGAGGGUUUCCGCCCUUCAGUGCUGCAGCUAACGCAUUAAGCAUUCCGCCUGGGGAGUACGGCCGCAAGGCUGAAACUCAAAGGAAUUGACGGGGGCCCGCACAAGCGGUGGAGCAUGUGGUUUAAUUCGAAGCUACGCGAAGAACCUUACCAGGUCUUGACAUACUAUGCAAAUCUAAGAGAUUAGACGUUCCCUUCGGGGACAUGGAUACAGGUGGUGCAUGGUUGUCGUCAGCUCGUGUCGUGAGAUGUUGGGUUAAGUCCCGCAACGAGCGCAACCCUUAUUAUCAGUUGCCAGCAUUAAGUUGGGCACUCUGGUGAGACUGCCGGUGACAAACCGGAGGAAGGUGGGGAUGACGUCAAAUCAUCAUGCCCCUUAUGACCUGGGCUACACACGUGCUACAAUGGAUGGUACAACGAGUUGCGAACUCGCGAGAGUAAGCUAAUCUCUUAAAGCCAUUCUCAGUUCGGAUUGUAGGCUGCAACUCGCCUACAUGAAGUCGGAAUCGCUAGUAAUCGCGGAUCAGCAUGCCGCGGUGAAUACGUUCCCGGGCCUUGUACACACCGCCCGUCACACCAUGAGAGUUUGUAACACCCAAAGUCGGUGGGGUAACCUUUUAGGAACCAGCCGCCUAAGGUGGGACAGAUGAUUAGGGUGAAGUCUA